GAUGAAGAACGUAGCGAAAUGCGAUACGUAAUGUGAAUUGCAGAAUUCAGUGAAUCAUCGAAUCUUUGAACGCAUAUUGCGCUCUCUGGUAUUCCGGAGAGCAUGCUUGUUUGAGUAUCAGUAAACACCUCAACUUCCAUAUCUUUUUUGAAAUGGGAGUUGGACUUGAGUGAUCCCAACGCUUUUCCUCACCAAAAAGUGGCGGGUUACUUGAAAUGCAGGUGCAGCUGGACUUUUCUCUGAGCUAUAAGCAUAUCUAUUUAGUCUGCCUAAAAAACAGAUUAUUACCUUUGCUGCAGCUAACAUAAAGGAGAUUAGUUCUUGUGCUGACUGAUGCAGGAUUCACAAAGACGGCUUCGGCCGACUUUGUAAACUCGAUCUCAAAUCAAGUAAGACUACCCGCUGAACUUAAGCAUAUCAAUAAGCGGAGGA
rnacentral:misc_RNA from 1 species